UAAUGCUUAGGAAUCUGCCUAUUAGUGGGGGACAACAUCUCGAAAGGGAUGCUAAUACCGCAUACGUCCUACGGGAGAAAGCAGGGGAUCUUUAUGACCUUGCGCUAAUAGAUGAGCCUAAGUCGGAUUAGCUAGUUGGUGGGGUAAAGGCCUACCAAGGCGACGAUCUGUAGCGGGUCUGAGAGGAUGAUCCGCCACACUGGGACUGAGACACGGCCCAGACUCCUACGGGAGGCAGCAGUGGGGAAUAUUGGACAAUGGGGGGAACCCUGAUCCAGCCAUGCCGCGUGUGUGAAGAAGGCCUUAUGGUUGUAAAGCACUUUAAGCGAGGAGGAGGCUCUUUUGGUUAAUACCCAAGAUGAGUGGACGUUACUCGCAGAAUAAGCACCGGCUAACUCUGUGCCAGCAGCCGCGGUAAUACAGAGGGUGCAAGCGUUAAUCGGAUUUACUGGGCGUAAAGCGCGCGUAGGCGGCCAAUUAAGUCAAAUGUGAAAUCCCCGAGCUUAACUUGGGAAUUGCAUUCGAUACUGGUUGGCUAGAGUGUGGGAGAGGAUGGUAGAAUUCCAGGUGUAGCGGUGAAAUGCGUAGAGAUCUGGAGGAAUACCGAUGGCGAAGGCAGCCAUCUGGCCUAACACUGACGCUGAGGUGCGAAAGCAUGGGGAGCAAACAGGAUUAGAUACCCUGGUAGUCCAUGCCGUAAACGAUGUCUACUAGCCGUUGGGGCCUUUGAGGCUUUAGUGGCGCAGCUAACGCGAUAAGUAGACCGCCUGGGGAGUACGGUCGCAAGACUAAAACUCAAAUGAAUUGACGGGGGCCCGCACAAGCGGUGGAGCAUGUGGUUUAAUUCGAUGCAACGCGAAGAACCUUACCUGGCCUUGACAUAGUAGAAACUUUCCAGAGAUGGAUUGGUGCCUUCGGGAAUCUACAUACAGGUGCUGCA
rnacentral:rRNA from 1 species